CAUACAUACAUACAUACAUACAUGCAUGCAACAAAAUCAGUUACAGUACUGCUUUUAAAUUUAGAUCAUAUUUCAAAUAAGGGCUUUUCACUGGUGGCCUGUUUACAGAGCAGAUUACAACCCAAAUAUCAAAUCAGGAUCAGCUGAGAAGUUGAGCCUCAUCAAUAAUUAAUUUUUCCGCCCAUGGAACCUUUUGGAUCACGAUUUAGAAAAUAGUCUCAUGAGACCAAUAAAACAGGAUAUAUGCAACAGGGCAGUGGCACAUUGCAUGCAGCAAAGUCUGCAUCUCCAUGCCAAAAAAGUGGUCCAGCAUCAUUCUCCUCCCACUUCAUAGGACUACUGCACCACCUACUGUCUGUCAGAGUGUAUUACAUGGUGAUGUACCCUCUCACCCGAGCCAUUUGAACCAAUCACAGGGCUUUGGAAGAUUGACAGGGGGAGCAAAGGGUGUCCUCUCUGGUGUCUCGUUGGACAUAGAGGCAGUGGGGUUUAGGGAUAACAUGACAGGAGUGGUUGACGCACGUCACUUGAAUCGAAUGAUGGAUGGAAAGAAGGAGCAAAGCCUAUCAUUUUUACUGUCUUUUGAUGAAGCGGUUCUCCCAACUUAUGUAAAACUUGGGUAUGUGAGAUAUGCGGUGAGACCGCAUGUACAGAAGCCGCUGCAGUGUUACAAUUGUAAAAAGUUGACAUGUGGCAAGUGUUUGUCGAAGGAAUAAAUAUGUGGAAGAGUCAGAUGAAGCAUGUUGCUGUAAUUGUGAUGGGAAUCACAUUCCCGAGUUCCCAGAGUGCCCUGCAAGGAUGAAGGAGGUCGCAGUAGCAGGAUCAGGGCUAUCCAGCAGAUUUCCUAUGUGGAGGCAGUGAAAAUAGCUGAAGGAGGGAAGAGAUAUGAGAUGGUAGUGGAUGUCCCACACACUAAUAGUGAAGAAGGUGGACUUUGAUGUGUAUAUAGCACAAGUGACAUUGCACUACUCAAACUAUUUUUUUUUAAAUCAACAAAGAAAUCUAAGAAGUUAGACAUCAUUGUGAAGGGGGCAAAUAUAUUUCUGGAUCUCCAGGACUUUACAGCAGAAAUGUUACAAGGAAUACUGAAUUAAGAGGUUCCUGAGCUGGGCUCUGAAUAGACAUUUAAAUCCGACUGAAAAAGUAGUUUUUGUUCAAAAUGAUGGGUUAGUUAUUAAUAAGAGAACAUCGUGGUAUAUAUAGCCUGGUAGUGACCGGCCUCACACUCCAGUACAGUAGCUGACAGUAUAUGCAUCUGUUAGUUGGUUGCGAUCCGCCAAAAAAACACGAAGAAAACAGGUGACGCAGUAGGCAGGGUUACCGCGAGAUUUUGGAUUCAAAGUAAUCUAGUUCAGCUGGAGAUGAGAAAAACAUAUUGUAGUUCGCUACCCUGUCAACAUAAACGUCAAUGAUGCUAAACGUCAAUGAUGCACACACCGUUCCAGUUUAGAUAAUUGGUGCACUGGUCAAUAAUGACGAAAUCAGGAGAAAGAAAUCAAGUGCAUGCAACCAUGGUGGUGGUUGGUCGUGCAGCCUUGAUGUGCGAGCUAAGUAGCUAGCUAGCUUACGUCAUACCUUCUCGUAUUCUAACGUUACUUUUCUGUUUUCUAAGUACAUCACUAGUUGCACGUAUAAUCCAACACUUAUGCAUACAUUUCGCACGUACCAUAUAACAAGUUACUGGUAGUAGACACCACUAGUCUGAAUGUGGGACUAUUUCUAAAACAGUUCACGUUUACUGUAACUUACACUCGGCGCUGGUUGUCAAAUCCACAUGUUGUUGUGAAGAUGAACGACGGUCUGUCUGGCUGUUCAGUUAUCCACCAAAAUCAGUUCAAGGAAGUAAAAUGUUGCUACCAGGUCAGUGCAUGGCAAGCCUGCCUAAAAAGUAGCUAACGUUCAGUUUGCCCUUCCCCGACUGGCACAGUAAUAUUUUCCGCUGCUCAAACUGACAUCACAUGGAGGAGAGCAAUAAUUAACCGCGUUACAAAUCACAAUCCUUUUUAGGUAAAAAUGCCCAUAUAUAGUAGCUGUAGGAAGCAGCGUGCAGUCAGAGCUGUAGCGCUGCCUGCAGGACGGUUUAAGCAUAUCUUUUUCGUCUCUUUCAACACAGUUUUUUUGUUGUUGUUGUAAAUAACAAUACGUUUUUUAUACAUAGAUUGUUAUCUAUACACUAAUUAACUACCUGUAACUUAUAACACAAUUGCAUAUCCGUUAUACACUGUUUAUAAAGAGUACCUUAAUAUAAAAUCGUACUCAUUUUAAACUGGCCAAUAUAGGCAUACUGUGAUAUCAUUUAGACCAGCAGUAGAGAGUGCACUGUAUCCUAUCCUAUGACCGCAAAAAAAAAAAACGAUCAGCACAUCAUCCCUCGAAGAGGUAGGCUAGAUAACCAGUUCUACAGAGUAAAUAAUUGUGUUUUGUGAAUCCAUUUGUGUUAUAUGACAAUGGAAAGACUUGUGGAGGAAACUUUCUAGCCUACUAUGAGAUGAAAUAUGUAGGGCAGACCACAUGUCAUAUGAGGAAUGUUGGUGAUGCUGAUCCUAUUGUUUCCUGUUACCGACCUGAGGUCACAUGACUAGAACGUUGCAUAGGUUGUGUGAGUACAACUAUCACACUCUUGUAUAAGAUAGGAUCACUUUUGACAGGAUUAUAAACAAUUUGCUGCACAGAGGAACUUGUUGCACUUUGUGUUUGUUUGAGUUGCUUGCUGUACAGCCUGACGAUGUGGAUCACUAUACCUAUUGUGAGAGUUGCUUGACUACAGCCCAAGAAAUUGAGAGCAGAAGAAAGACACAGCAGAGUCCAGAUGGGAUGUUAUUGAGAAGCUAGUCAGUGGUGCUGUGUACCAAGAUUUAGAUGCUAAAAUCCCCACUGAACACAUUUUAAUGUAACUAUGUUCAACUGUACCAACUCUGUUUAUUUAAUCUCCAAAAUUCUCUUAGAAUAAAGAUAUUUCUCAAUAUCAUGUUGUUUUAUGUUAUUGUAAUUUCUGCCAUACUGAACUGACAAUGCAAUCAUUUGUAGGUUCACCCACUAAUGCAAUAUAUUGAUAAAGGAUGUGACAACUAUUAUCUUAAUGGAAUCAAAUGUUCAGCCAUCUGCCCUUUUCCAGAAACAUCCUCUCAUACAAAAUCCAUAUCUGAAUAAGCUAAGAAAUAACACAGUUGGAUUGAAAUAUAGGAAUUUGAAUUGGAUUUGAUUGAUUAUGCAUUAUACACUAUUUCAAAUUUGCUCAUUUGUAAAUUACAUUGUCAAAUCACUCAAUUUGAAUGUGAGUCAUGUAAUACUUUUAUAGAUUCAAGAGAUCAUUAUGAUGACUGAAUAAUGAUUUAUUUCAGAAAUUCUGACAUAGGUAAAGAUGUAGUAUAUUUAAUUCAACUGCUAAUAAUACUAGGUAAAUGUCAUAUUCACAAAUGCAAAUGGUAUAAUUCAAAAACCUAACUUUUUUCACUUUAUAAAUGAGUUUAAACAAUAUGGCACUACUUACAUUUUUUUAAAGGCAUUUAAAACUUGUAUUAAUUCAUAUGAUUUGUUUGUUUAGGCUUCCAGGCAAACGUAAAUUGUUUGUUUGUAUGCUUGUUUUCA